ACAGCUGCCAACCUAGAAUUCUAUGUAUAACGGCUUCUUUAAAAAUUAAGAGAAAUAUGGAUAUACUCUAACAAACAAAACGGAGACUAUUCGUUAUGAGCAGUAUAGAUCAAGAAAUGUACAAAAGGGAAUCCUGGAGGCAAAAGAAAAAUGAAUCCUGAUGGGAGCAUAAAAAUUCAGGGAGGAGUAAAUAGGACUAAACAGGUUGAUAAACUGAAAAGGAACUGUGACCUGUUCUAUAGAAUUCUCAUGUACAAAAAUAAAUCUAGCAUUGGAGUCUAUCUUUGUAUAUACACCUAAGUAUAUCUACAUCACAGGAUGAGAGGAUAAAGGACAGGACAAUGAUGGAAAGCAGGCUGCGUGUACGAGGGGGAAUAUUUCUCUACCUUCCCAUAAGGUUUGCUCCCAGAGGAAGACCCAGUCCUGCAAGGUGAUGCCUGCAGUUCUGCAGGUAGUUUCAACUUGGCAGCAGUAUAUAGUGAAGCCCAAAAUGACUGUACAUCUAAUCAUAUCCUGCAAUCCAUAUUUUUAUAUUAAUAAAUUAAAAACUA